rnacentral:rRNA from 1 species
AGUUGGAAACGACUGCUAAUACCGCAUAAGCCCACGGGUCGGCAUCGACCAGAGGGAAAAGGAGCAAUCCGCUUUGAGAUGGCCUCGCGUCCGAUUAGCUAGUUGGUGAGGUAAUGGCCCACCAAGGCGACGAUCGGUAGCCGGACUGAGAGGUUGAACGGCCACAUUGGGACUGAGACACGGCCCAGACUCCUACGGGAGGCAGCAGUGGGGAAUAUUGCACAAUGGGGGAAACCCUGAUGCAGCGACGCCGCGUGGAGGAAGAAGGUCUUCGGAUUGUAAACUCCUGUUGUUGAGGAAGAU